AAUAAAUCCUGCUGGGGUCAGGCAAUUUGUGUCCCAAAAAGGAGUACAGGCCAGUGUGACUGCAGCAGCUGCUGCUGUGUCAGUUACGUUUAUAUUGCUGCCUGAAACCCAGCUAUUGGAAAAAUCUAUGAAAAACCUCAGAAGCACCUCAAACUGUGCACAGCUUCAACACAGUUCACGUGGAUCACAUAUUUUAGCUCGGCAGAGUAAUGCAGUGAUCUCAUGAAAGCUGUUGAUAUUAACAAUGCACUAAUCUCUAGAUGGGAAUCUUCCCUCUACACCCAGGCCAGGCCAGAUAUCUGAUUACAAAGAACAAGUUCUCACUUACAAGAAGAGCUGUCAGGCAACAUCUUGAGUAUUUGUGGUCUGCAGAAAUAUUGGGUGCUGUGGACCCCCUGAGAGCAAAGCGUUUAUAGGAAUUGAUCAUACAUCGAAGAAUGGACUCAGAAUAUAAAGAUAAGAGGAUUUACCAGGCAAAAGAGUGAGACCAGAUAAAAGAUGAGUCACUGUCAUCCUUAAAAUGGAGCCGACAGAAUUGGGAAAGAACAGGUUUUUGGUUUUAAGCUGUAUUUAAUACCAAAAAAACCUUUGUUAUAACUUGAUUUUACUUUUUCCCCACAAUGUUUUCCUUUAAGUAUUUUGAUUAAUAUUGCCAAAUUAUUGCCAAACAGGCUUAUUUUCUGCAUUCAAACCAGGCCUGUGCUUGUAAGUACAAUGCACCUGCUAGCUUCAGUGUACUCUGCCUCCUGAAUUCUUGUGAAAUCACAUUUACCCAUGUAAAUACUACUAAAAUCCUUUGGUCGUGGUUGCAGUGACACAGGGCAUUUGUACCAGAACCCUUGCACCAGGCACAAGGGAAAGCAUCAGAGUAUUUUAACUUGCAUUUUGUUGUGUUUCAGAGUUUUUAAAAUCCAUUUUCCCUCAGGGGGAGGGGGUGUGGGGGGGGAUGAUGCAGCAAAUCUCACUGUUUCAUAUCGGAGUGGGUGAGAUUUUCUGGUAAAUGACGUGGGUAUAUGGUUAGUACCACAGUGGGAUCAGUGAUAUCAUUGCUCUAUGGCAAUGGAAAUUUUGAUGCUGACUGAGCAAUGAAAACCCAGAUUGACAUUGAUGAGCAAAUGUGAUUCACCACUAAUUUAUCCCCAGGUAUUGAGAUGGCCAUGAAGCAUAUUUAACUUGUCUGCAAAUCUAUAUAAUUUACAAAUAUGUAUGUAGAGAGCUUGAAAAUUAAUUUUCACUAACUUUUGUCUUCUAACUUUUCUCUGUGAUUGCUUUUGCUUGCCCAGCCAAGAAGCAGGUGACCAAUAAGGUAUGAAUUGCCAAUGGCUAAUGAAUAAUAAUCAAAUGAAUAGUUUGUAAAUAGCCCUUAACCUGAAAGCUGCUUUUCUGGUAUAUCUGAUGAUUUCUUACAAAUCAAAAUGUAUUUUUCCUGUUUGAUGAAUAUACAGGUACAUAUUUAUACAUGCACAACUGACAUGCCUUGUAGAAGUACACAGAUUUCCAGUCUGAGGCAGCGAUAUUUGAACAACUGCAGUUUGGAUGAGCAGCAGUUGAGGAAUUUAGCAUAGACUAGCAUAGUUAAACAAGAUUUCUACAAUUAUAAAUUGAUGAUGUAAAGUUUCAGUAAUUUACUCUUGAUAUUGACAGAACAAUUUGGGACUAAUCUGUCUAAAGGACCAGCUUUAAUUUUUUCAGGUGACUGGCUCUUGGUUUUUGUCAAUCAUUUCAGUCUGAUUAGAUCUUUAAAUUUAAACAUUUUUGUACAAGAGUUUUUCUAAUAAGAAAUUGUUAAUUGCUAAACAAACAGGCUGCAAUAACAAAAUACAAUUCACUGAAAUUGUUUCCAUUAGUUAAGCUUUCUCUCAGAGAAUUUAAAUAUUUGCUGAAUCUCUAGUCAUUGUGCAGCAGUUUUCAGGAAAAAUGUAAUGGUUGGACUGAAGGAAAAAAAAGCGUCUCGCACAAAUAGGCAUGCGAAAUAGAAGUUAUUAAACUAUUUUGGUAAAGUCCAAUGUACUAAGAGAAAGUGGAUCACAAAAGCAGAUUCAGUUUUCUGCAUUUUAGUUCAGGAUUUUUAGGCAACAGGUUUUAAGAACCAUGCAGAUGGAAACAGUUUAGUAAAACCUAAGUCUUCUUUUGUUUUGUGGGGUUUUUGUUUGUUUAAUUAGAGUAUCUAAUCUGUUUUUGCAUUCUAAACUUUUUGAAACUCGGUGGAUUGUUUCUUCCUGUUACUGAACAUUCAGCUGGCUGGAAAUGCACUUUAAUUUGAAAGCGUUGCUAUUUUCAGAAGAAUAUCUUUUUCAGCGUUACAGAUUGAUACAUAAAGACUCCAGCUUUAACAGGAGUUGGUGUGUAUUCUAGCAUUAAAAGAAGUCCUUAAAUGAUAAAUAUAAAAUACUUGAACGACUUAAAACCCAAAAGCGUAGGUUUACACUGUUUUCAAAGCAGGAGUCGAAAUUCGAAAGAGCGAGCCUAAUUUUGAGCGGAAAUAGGAAGACUGCCGUAGUUCGAUGAGGAUUCCCG
ensembl:lncRNA